rnacentral:lncRNA from 1 species
AUUCAUCAAGGGUCAACCAGUUUCCCCUACAAAAAAAUACUGAGGGAAAGAAUCAGGGAGGUUUGUUUAAAAAAGCAUUAGACAUUACUGAAACAAUGAUAAAAAUACCACUUGGAACCAUAUAAUUGUCCAACAGAAAGAAGUCUUGAUAGCCAUUAUUCUUUGUUUAAAAAUAGGGUUUCAGUUAGUCGAAAGCCAGACUGCACAAAUACUUAACAUAUAUGGUUUGAUUUCAAUAUGUGUUUGAAAACAUUACAAAAUAUGCUGAAUAUUUAGAUUCUACAUCAUUGUUAAUUUAGGAUUUAGGAAUUUGUGUAAUGCUUCAUGUAACAAUGUUCAGCCAUUCAUUACGUACAUUUGUACUUCACAAAUUGUGUUUUCAGUAAUUUCACAUUUUCUUGUCAUCACAUUAAGUUAAUUAAAAACCAAAGAUCGAAAUUUUCUACAUUUUAAAAAUUUUAUGGAUAGCAUGACAAUUUUAUAAUGCUUAUAUGUAAGAGUUAGACCUGCUGACUUAUUAUUUCACUUUAUUGUGUGAAUUCACUUGGACUUACUGUUGUAUUUACAGUUCAGUGUGUGUAAUAUUGCCAUUUGUCGAAAGAACAUUUGAUUAAUUUGUCUUUCUGUCUUUGCUAAGGGCCAUGCCGAGUUGUUGGUGCAGUGGCAUCCUUGCUCUGGAUGUGGGGCAAAGUGGAAAAACUCCUGGGAGCCAAAAUAAAAUGUACAAAUUUAACACCAUCUCGAAAAUGCGUGUGUGCAUGUAUUGUUUGUUGCUGUGUGUUCCAUUCAGAAUUGUUUAUAUGAAGAUAUUUUCAUACAUUGUUUUUUUUAUAACUGAUUUUGAUUUGUCAGAUUAAUUCCUGUAGUGAAUCUUGACAAUAUGUUCAUGAGUUCUGUCUGUUAUGUCACUGCUUUAUAAAGUGCAUGAGGUAAAUUUUCUGUAUUUUAGGAGACUGGAUAUUUUUCAAAUAAAACAUUUUGAAAUAACAUACCUGUCGCUGACUGUGUUCCUUCAUAUACACUUGAUUUUAAUGAUUGUUUAAAAUCUG